CUACUACUCCCUCCGUCCGAAAAUACUUGUCAUUGAAAUGGAUGUAUCUAGAUGUAUUUUAGUUCUAGACACAUCCAUUUUGAUGACAAGUAAUUUCGGACGGAGGGAGUAUUAU
rfam:Triticum aestivum genome assembly, contig: Triticum_aestivum_CS42_TGACv1_scaffold_220952_3B